GAUGAAGAACGCAGCGAAACGCGAUAGUUAAUGUGAAUUGCAGAAUUCAGUGAAUCAUCGAAUCUUUGAACGCACAUUGCGCCCAUUAGUAUUCUAGUGGGCAUGCCUGUUCGAGCGUCAUUUCAACCCUUAAGCCUCUGUUGCUUAGCGUUGGGAGCCUACCUACCCGGUAGAUCCUCAAAGUUAGCUGGCAGGGUCGAGGUUCGCCCUAAGCGUAGUAGUUCUUUCUCGCUUCUGCGGCUGCCUAGGCCAUCGCCACAAGCCUUUUAAACUUCAAUGGUUGACCUCGGAUCAGGUAGGAAUACCCGCUGAACUUAAGCAUAUCAAUAAGCGGAGG
rnacentral:misc_RNA from 1 species